GGGGCCUGGGCACCUGUAUUUUCAAAAGCAUUCCGAGUGAUUGUGAUAUACGUGAAGUGAUGCAGGUGCCUACAAUGUGAAUGUCCUUGGCUGCAACGCUGCAUUCUCACCUGGUCCAGUUACUGGAGAUUCUGAAAGAGGGCAGGAGACAGAGGAGUUUGGGACCUGACUGCUACUGCAACAAGGCCAACCAGCAGAUAAGAGGAAUCCUUUCAUCAGAACCAGUCUCUCAUAGUUAAGAAGAGCAGAUGCCUGACACUAUUAUCCAGAGUAUGCCAGUGACACAAGAACAUCGAGAACCAUCACUAUAUUUGACGAGAGAGUGACGUAAUAAAACGGAAAUUUCAGAAGGGGCAUACCUUUAAACCUUAGUAUUAAUAUUGUUAUUACAUGGCCAUUAAUAAUUUAAAUAAAUAUGAAUUUUAUAGAUUAUGUUUACUGACUUAAAGAGAUAGGGCAAUUUCAUUUCUUGUAUAUAUCACUGGGUCCUGAAUAAUAGAAAAAUAUAAUGUUAAGUAGACAAUGGCCAUGUCCAUAAUACUCACUGUCAUUUUCCUAACAUUGAACAAUGUGUGUCAAAAUUAUUAUUUUAAA